UAGAGUUUGAUCAUGGCUCAGGAUGAACGCUGGCGGCGUGCUUAACACAUGCAAGUCGAACGAAGCGAUCGAGAGGAAGUUUUCGGAUGGAAUCCGGAUUGACUGAGUGGCGGACGGGUGAGUAACGCGUGGGUAACCUGCCUCAUACAGGGGGAUAACAGUUAGAAAUGACUGCUAAUACCGCAUAAGCGCACAGGGACACAUGUUCCGGUGUGAAAAACUCCGGUGGUAUGAGAUGGACCCGCGUCUGAUUAGCUGGUUGGCGGGGUAACGGCCCACCAAGGCGACGAUCAGUAGCCGACCUGAGAGGGUGACCGGCCACAUUGGGACUGAGACACGGCCCAAACUCCUACGGGAGGCAGCAGUGGGGAAUAUUGCACAAUGGGGGAAACCCUGAUGCAGCAACGCCGCGUGAGUGAAGAAGUAUUUCGGUAUGUAAAGCUCUAUCAGCAGGGAAGAAGAUGACGGUACCUGAGUAAGAAGCCCCGGCUAACUACGUGCCAGCAGCCGCGGUAAUACGUAGGGGGCAAGCGUUAUCCGGAUUUACUGGGUGUAAAGGGAGCGUAGACGGUGAGACAAGUCUGAAGUGAAAGCCCGGGGCUCAACCCCGGGACUGCUUUGGAAACUGCCUGACUGGAGUGCAGGAGAGGUAAGUGGAAUUCCUAGUGUAGCGGUGAAAUGCGUAGAUAUUAGGAGGAACACCAGUGGCGAAGGCGGCUUACUGGACUGUAACUGACGUUGAGGCUCGAAAGCGUGGGGAGCAAACAGGAUUAGAUACCCUGGUAGUCCACGCC
rnacentral:rRNA from 1 species